rnacentral:lncRNA from 1 species
UAAUACUUUUCUACUUUGCACACAUUUGGGAGCUUGCGGGGUGGGCCAACUACAUACCUUAGUGCUGCUUGUGCUUUAUAGUCUGCACCCACAACUUCUGUCAUGUAUGAGAUGGACUGGAACCUUAUUUUGAUUUGGGUACACUGUUCGGUAAUCAUCAUCAGAGUUCAGAAGUCUAGCAGGUCCCUUCUCAGUUUUGUACAGCAGAUCAUGCACUUCUGCAAAACUGUGUUCAGCUCUGUAUGAGAAAUUGGUAAUCACAGCCUGAACUGAACCUCUGAUUAAUCAGCUGAGGCAAAUAUAAAAUCUGCUGUGGGAGCACAGGUGACAGUAAUCUAGCUGUGCUCCCAGAAGGGUUGGAGCUUGACUCCACCCCCUCUAGACCUCAUUUAAGGGCUGACCACCACUAAGGCAGCAUCUCUUGGAAACUGCUUCCUGGUAGAGAUUGCCUCAGCAUUUCCCAGUGAAAGCAUCCAUAUUGGUGAGUUUUUCCCUAUAAAUAACCUUUUGAAUAUUUGUUACCAUCUUUGUAUCACUCCACCUUGCAAGUUGCAACCUUUUUAGUGUAUAUAUCUGUACAUUUCAGUUACCCAUCCAAACAUACUGAGAGCAGCCAACUGCAUUUAUAUAAUACAAUUUUGUGUAGCUGGGCUAUAAAAAAAUUUCAGUGUAUAUGUGGUUGCUAAGAAACAACUACUGCGCUGUGUAGCUUAGGUAGGUUUUUGCAGAUUUACACUUGAAAACAUGAUUCAGAAAACUUCUUCUCUGAAAGCAAGAAUCAAGAAAAUAGGGACCCUUCAUGAAGAUUAAGCAUCCUAGGACUUGGGGAAUGUCAGAAGAAUAGGACUAGUGGGACAUGUCGACACUGCUAAUACAGUUGGGAUAGCACAGCUGAGUCUAUAGUUAAGAUAAUACAGAUGGAAGAGAAAGGUAGCCAAAGAAACUGGCUUUGACUGAUUGAGUAGAGGAGCUGGGUUGAAGUAAGCUGAGGAAGACUUCUGACUUCAUCCCAAUGACCACCAGUGCGAGACCCACACUACGGACUGUGCACGUGUCAGUAGGAGGGACAGCAGGUAAAUGAGUUCCUGGAAAAACAAUGAAUAUGUUAAUGAUUUCUCAGAAAUUUGAUGAAUAUGUAUACACUUGCUCUAUAACUUUGUAACCCUCCUGCCUUUUGGUGUGCAUGAUAGGAGGAGUGAUCCCCCAUGUGCCCAGCGCUGAAUAAACACAUACCUGCUUUAUAACCUAUCUCUGGU